rnacentral:rRNA from 1 species
GAUGAACGCUGGCGGCGUGCCUAAUACAUGCAAGUCGAGCGAACGGACGAGAAGCUUGCUUCUCUGAUGUUAGCGGCGGACGGGUGAGUAACACGUGGAUAACCUACCUAUAAGACUGGGAUAACUUCGGGAAACCGGAGCUAAUACCGGAUAAUAUUUUGAACCGCAUGGUUCAAACGUGAAAGACGGUCUUGCUGUCACUUAUCGAUGGAUCCGCGCUGCAUUAGCUAGUUGGUAAGGUAACGGCUUACCAAGGCAACGAUGCAUAGCCGACCUGAGAGGGUGAACGGCCACACUAGAUCUAAGACACGUUCCAGACGCCUACGGGAGGCCGCAGUCUGGAAUCUUCCGCAAUGCGCGAAAGCCUGACGCAGCAACGCCGCGUGAGUGAUGAAGGCCCUCGGAGCGGAAAGCGCUGUUAUUAGGGAAGAACAUAUGUGUAAGUAACUGGGCACAUCUUGACGGUACCUAGUCAGAAAGCAACGGCUAACUACGUG